rnacentral:misc_RNA from 1 species
GAUGAAGAACGUAGCGAGAUGCGAUAAGUAGUGUGAAUUGCAGAAUUCAGUGAAUCAUCGAAUCUUUGAACGCACAUUGCGCCCCUUGGUAUCCCGAGGGGCAUGCCUGUUCGAGCGUCAUUUCACCACUCAAGCCUGGCUUGGUGUUGGGCGACGUCCUCUUUGGGGACGCGCCUCGAAACGCUCGGCGGCGUGGCACCGGCUUUAAGCGUAGCAGAAUCUUUCGCUUUGGAAGUCGGGGCCCCGUCUGCCGGAAGACCUGCUCGCAAGGUUGACCUCGGAUCAGGCAGGGAUACCCGCUGAACUUAAGCAUAUCAAUAAGCGGAGGA